rnacentral:lncRNA from 1 species
GCAGAUUUCCCUUACACGGGGACUGUAAGGUUUAUCGAACUAGGAGGACCCUGAGGAUCAACACGUAGGUGUCUACUGCUCUGGCACUAGGAGAAGACAUGGACCUGCACACACAACAAAUAACUUUGCUCCCAACGAGUACAGACAGGUUGUCAAUCUCUCCGACCUUGUACUUUGCAAAGGAUAAAAACACAAGCGGGAAUAGUGAUAGUGAUUGUAAUGGAAAAGUAACUGAAAGCAGUAAAUGGUGGAGGUUUAAGCGAUGGUGGUAAUAUGGACCUGAGUCACAUGAUGUUCACUAGUGAUGUCUCUCUCCCAAAAGACGAUAAACAACUAUGCAUGGGUAAACAAAUUACAGCUGGGCAAUUGACAGAAAUAUAAACGCACCGCAAUGCUAAUUAUGCUACUUGAAAGUUAGAGACACAAUAGUAAUGGGCAUUACGACAAGACAAGUAGACCGUUUAUUCAUCAGCAUCUACUUAGUAAUCAUCCACCUUGAGAUAUCUAUCCAGAACAUCUCGCUGGUAUUAAGUUGCGAGCCCCACCCAAAGAGUAAACUCAAAGCAACAGACAAUUGCAUUAACGAACUUUGCGUAAGGUCAACAAUACUUGCAACCGUGGUUACAAGCACCGUUGUUUUCCCCCUGGUGGCAACAACACAUCCCGUAGUCUCAUGUUUCUGUCACUCAAGCUAGACAUUAGGGGGCAUGAACCCAUAAUCAUGCAUAACGCUCCUUCUUGGAGUUACAAUCUACUACUCGACUGAACAUAAUCUCAUAAUCCAUCGGAUCCCAACAAACCAAGCCUAGCAAUAGCAGGAAAAUUACAUAGAUGCCUUGAUCAUGUAGGGCAGCUCACAAGGGCUAAUCAUUGAAGCACAAGAUUGGAGAGAAGACAUCACAUAGCUACUGGUUAUGGACUCAUGGUCCAACGAGGACUACUCAAGACACGUCCGGGAAGCGUCCAUGGCAGUGGAGAAGCUCCCGGAGGUUAAUCCUCCGUCAGGCAGGGUGCCGGGUAGAGGCCUGUUGACGCUCCCGAUAUCGGAAGCGCUGCAGCGUCGGAACGAUGGAGAAAUUUGCGAUUCUGGAUAUUCUCGAAGGGUUUCCAAUCGGAGGGGUAAAUAUAGGCCAAAUGAGGGCGUCAGAGGAGGUGGGGCCCACCCAGGCGACCCGUGGGCGCGGCCAGGGGCCAGGCCGCGCAGGGAGGCCCCCUGGGUAGGCCCUCGCUCCCGUCUGGCCCACCUUCGGUGCUCCGGAAGCUUCCCUCACGCUUAUUUUUAUAUAUUUUUCCUCGGAAUUUUUGGGACUCGGUAAAUUUGGGUAGAAGUCCCUGCAAAAAAGACAUCAGUAGACAGAAACUGGCACUGGGUGCACUGAAUUAGUAGGUUAGUCCAAAUAUGUGUAAAAAGAUAUAAAAGUGUAGCAAAACAUAUAACAAUGUCACCCAAAAUAUCAUAGAACAAGCAGGAAUUAUAGAUACGUUUGGGACGUAUCAACAUCCCCAAGCUUAAUUCCUGCUCGUCCUCGAGUAGGUAAAUCAUAACACAAAUAAUUUCUGUGGUGACAUGCUAACACACAUAUAAGAACUUCAAAGUAAAGCAAGUGAGAUAUGCAAUUCAAUUCAAGACAAUAACAAGCAAGAGUCUAUAUUUAGUAUUGAAAUUAGCAAAGUAAGAACAUAAGGGUGCAAGAGCUCUCGCUGUCCGUGACUCGAAUGUCUCCAAAUGGUGUUUGCGUGCAAGAAGUGGGAGAUGGGUUUAGAGCAUAAAAAUAUUUUUUUAAUUGAGAACUCAAUCUACUAAACUUCACACUUGGUAUCCUUUGGAAUCUUAUUUUGACUCAUCCCCAGACCACUAGUCAGGCACAUGUCAAAAUGAUCCUCUCCCUUUCGACUUUGAGCACUCAUGCAAUGGAUGAGCGUAAGAAAGAUAUGUUGGCACUUAGGAUGGCAAAUAGAAUAAUUAUGGGGAAGGAAGACAAAAAGGGUGUGAAAGACUCACAUCAAUUAGGACAAUGAUAGGCGAGAGAAAGCCAAAUGAUAGAUAUGAUGUGAGAAGUAGGGAUUGCCAUGCAACAGAUGCACAUAUGAGAUAAGGUAAGCUCUCCAAUGAAACUAGUGGGGGUGCAUCCAACUUGCUUUCUCACAAAGACCUAGAGCUCAUUUGAGGAGGCUCAUCAUUGGAUAUAUAAGCCAAGUUCUAUAGCGUAAGGGUCCCCACAUAGUUAUGCAUGAAUGAUAAUCUCUAUGUAGUACAAAUAUAACAAUGGAGUACGAGUGUGGAUCUUUCAAAAGGAAUAGUAGUGUUGCCCUCUUCUCUCUUUUUUAUUUCUCUUUUUUCCCUUUUUAUUUUAUUUUUGUGUGGCCUCUUUGGCUCUUUCUAUUUAUCUGUCAUUUGUCCUCUUUGGGAUCUUUUAAUUUGUCCUCUUUGGGAUCUUUUCCUCACUUAAGGGCAACACUCUAUGUUUUACAAGAAUAAAAAUAAGAUCAUCACACUUUAGAAGAAAUACUCAACAUAAAGACAAAUGAAAACUAUCAUGAUGUAUGCAAAUGUAUGCCUUUGCCAGUGUAGCAGGAUAUGCAAUGAAAUUAGCGCGUCAUGUAGCAAUAAUAAGGGCAAGUCCCAACUAGCAUGCGGCUCAUCGAUCAAGCAAAAUCAUGUAUGACAUGAAGAUCAAGUCAUGAGAUGGUGGAUGUUGCAUGGAAAUGUAUCUCGGAAAGGCUAUGAAAAUGCCUUAAUAGGUAGGUAUGGUGGCUGUUUUGAGGUAAGAUAUAAUGCGGCUUAUGAUGACAGAGCGUGUCAUGCCAAGGGUUUGCAUGCACGAGAAAAGUUUGCACCAACUCUCAAGAUGAGAAAGGACAAUGCACGGUACUGAAGAGGCUAGCAAAAUAUGGAUGGUGGAAGUGCCAACAAUGAUAUACUCGCAUUAGUCCGAAGAACUCAUACAUUUAUUUUCGGUAACUCACUAUCUAGUUAGGAAAUUCACAAAGAUACAAGUACCCCGAGGAGGAGUGUUUGGGGGUUUGGUUAUCCUUACGCAUCCUCGACCCAUGGUAACGUGAGGGUACUCUAUAUAUUCCAACCCCUCGAGAGGUUAGCGAUCAAUCUAGUAGCUAGAGUUCUCAACUAAUUUUUUAAUUUCUGAAAACACACGGAUUUCCCAAAAUAUGACACCUAUAACUAAUAGGCUCAAGAUCUUGGCACCAAUAGUCCAAACAUUACUCAAAUCAAUACCUAAAAACUAUUGCAAGUUACUACUAUACUUAAAUUGCAACCUUAGUUACCUACUGAUGCAAGACACACAACUCAGUGCAACAAAACAACACUCUAAACAAGAUAAGCAUGAUAACUCAAGAGGGUUCCAAAAGAAACCUAAAUAAAAGCUCUUAAAAAGAUAAAGCAUGAAAACUAAGAGCUAAGCAUGACAGAAGCUAUGAAAAGAUAAAGAACACGCAAAAAAAGAUAAGCAUGAAAACCUAUGUUAUGUUCUAGAGUGGAGUGGAGCGUGUUUUUCUCCCAAACAAGUAUGGCUAGGAUCCUACUUGUUAUGAACAACAAGCGAAACUAAAACAAACUAAAAAGUAAAGAGAGGGACGCUCCAAGCAUAGCACAUAACAUAUGAAGUGAUAAAAAUAUAGCAUGGAGAUGGACGAACUGAUGAUUGUUGAUGGAGAAGGGGAUGCACGGGGGCAUCCCUAAGCUUAGACGCUUGAAUCUCCUUGAAUAUUUCUUGGGGGUGCAUGGGCGCACCCCCAAGCUUAAGCGCUUGACACUCCUGGAUCUUCUUUCAUCAUCUUCCAUCGCAUACUUGAAAACUCCCUUCAUACGAAACUCAUCAUAAGCUGAUUAGAGUGGUUAGUACCCAUAAUAAAAUAAUUUAUUGUCUACUGGAAAUAGAGAUUUUCAUGAAAAUCUACUAUUUCUCAUGAUUUCCAAAAGAUUUUUGCAAAGGAAAAGCAAGCUUAAGAUUUCCAAAACGAUGAAAAUGCAAAACGUGGCAGAAUCUGUGAGAAACAGAACAACAGGUAGUAAAUAAUUUUUUUGGGGCACUUCUGCAACUCAAAUAAAAAAACUCAGAACAUAUGCGAGAAAAAAAAUUAUAUAUAUCAUGCUCUAAAAAAAUUCAGAUCAAAAAUAUGAUCUGGUGAUUUUGCGAAUUGUUCCGUCAAGCAGAGAUAAUCUGUUUCUGGACAUCACGUCACAACUUUUGAACUUUCUUGCAAUCGGAGGCUAAAACUUGGCACAAAGCUUGAAAAUAAAUAUACAAUGAGGUUGCUACAGUAGUAACAAGCAUCAGGACCACUAAAACUGAAAGUAAAAACUCAAAGUAAAGAUAACAAGGGUUGUCUCCCUAGAGCUCUUUCUUUAUAGCUAUAAAGAUAGGCUUAAGAUUUUAAUGAUGCUAUCGUAGGAAUAAGAGUUGUAGAACAAAAGAGAGCAUCCAGAAGAAAAUACCAAACACAUUUAAAUCUAACAUGCUUCCUAGGCAUAGGAAUCUUACAAUAGAAUAAUUCAUUGAAGCUCAAAGCAAUAAGCAUAGGAAGGCAAAACAAGUGCAGCUUCAAAACCUUCAACAUAAAGAGGGGAAACUUCUUAUUUUUUAGAUAUUUAGAACCAUGUCUCCCCCUAUCAUUAUAAAUUUCAGUGGUAUCAUGGAUGAACUCAACAAUAUAACUAUCACAUAAGGCAUUAUUUCCAUGAUCCAAAGGCAUAAAAGUAUCAUUAAUCUUCUUAUAAGCAAAAUCUUUCUUAUUAGGAAUAGUGAGAGUAAAUAAAUCAUUAUCAUCAUGGUGAUCAUGAAAGAAAAUUUUAUCCUCAAAAGUUGGGGGCUAAAAAUAUCGUGUUCAUCAAACCCUUCAUCCCCAAGCUUAGAGCUUACCAUGUCAUUAGCAAUAUUGAUAUUCAAAGAAAGCAUACUAAUAUCAUUGCCACCAUCAUAAUUGUUACGCAAAUAAUAAAGUUCCAUAGGUUUAUUAAUUUCCUCUUCGAACACUUCAUGUACUAGUUCAAGAUAAAGUUUAUAAAGCUCUCUCAUAUUUGUGUUGUUUUCCAUUAAGCCUAACUAGCAGGACUAAAAAGCAAAGGUAAAAGAUAGUGUGCAACUCCCCUAUCUUGAACACUAGAGUCCCCAGCCACCCGCCAUAAAUUUGCUUGAUGACGAGUUGAUGGAUAUACUUCGCACCCCUCGUUGGCACCAAGUGGAAGGUUGAGAUGUAGUGAGCAAUAGAUUUCCCUUACAUGGGGACUGUAAGGUUUAUCGAACCAGGAGGACUCCGAGGAUCAACAAGUAGGUGUCUGCUGCUCUGGCGCUAGCAGAAGACAUGGACCUGCACACACAACAAAUAACUUUGCUCCCAACGAGUACAGAGAGGUUGUCAAUCUCUCCGGCCUUGUAGUUUGCAAAGGAUCAAAACACAAGCGGGAAUAUUGAU